rnacentral:tRNA from 1 species
CACCGCCCUUUCACGGCGGCAACCGGGGUUCGAAUCCCCGUGGGGUCA